rnacentral:misc_RNA from 1 species
AAAAUGCUCGCUCGUAUAGUGUUCUUCCUCUACUUUUUUCUCCUCUUUUUCCUCGCUCUUACCUCACUCUCUCUAUCACUUUACUCUGCUUUUCCCACGCUUUCAUCAUACACUCUCUCUCUCUUUCCCUUUGGGUUUCUGUUCCCGGAUUUUUAAACCCUAAAUACAGGCAAUGCUGUUUUUGUUUUUGUCUUUCAAUGGCUUCUGUUUCUGUUUCUGUCUUCGCUAGAUCUACUUCAUUGUCCCGUUGGUUAACCCUUUUCUCAAUUUUUUAGCUUUCAGUCUUCUCUCUUUCUUAUGCCAUUUCACACUGUUUGCACUUAGAUCGAGAGCGUGGCGGCUUGGAUUCUUGCUAAACAACCUGCAUUUUGUGUUAGAUCCAAGUAUGAUCUUCUAAAUGCACGUAUAAAUGUUGCGCCUUUGAGAGAGAGCUCUGUUAAUUGUCUUCCUGUUUGAGAUUGCCACUUGUGCUUGAUUUAUGAGCACAAGUUCUUUAACUUACAAUGGAGGAAACGUUAGUGCCAUCUGUUGAAGAGCCAGUGAAUGAGGUUCAAACUUCAGUGAAACAGUCCUCUGUUAGUUCAGUGGAGACAAUGAAAAAGGUUACAAAAACCACGAAACUUACAGUAGCUGCAACCUCAAGCCUUUUAGCUCCAACUGGUUCUAUCAGAAAGAGAACUGAACCAAAAAGCAGUUCAGAUUCAAGUUCAAAAGUGACCAAACCAAAUUUAACUGCUUCAUCUCGUAAUUUAAAUUCAGUUCCAGUGGCAAGAAGAAAUAGUACUGGAGGAAUGCCUGAGAAAUCAUCUACAAUAAAACGGCAAAAUAGUGUUACUAAUGUUGCAGGCAAAAGAACUACUGCUGCAUCAGACCCAGUUAGGCAGUCUCUUCCAGAGCUUAGAAGGAGUUCCUUGCCUUCAGUUGCUGCAAAACCUGCAACUCGAACAAGUGUUUCAGAGGUUAGGAAGUCGCUUCCUGUGUCAACUAUGGAUAAGAGUUUAAGAUCAUCAACAGGCUCUGAUGUAAGCAAGUCAGGGAGUGCCAAGAAACCUUCAGUUAAGCCAUCAUUGCCAUUCUCUUCCUCCUCAAAAAGGCAUUCUUCGACAUCAUUGGACAGUACUGGCAGUAGUGUGAGCAGGAAGACAGUUUCAAAGGUUUCUUCACCAUCAGCUGGCUCACCUUCAGUUUCUAGUGGAUUCAGAACUGGGUCGUUGUCGACAUCUCUGGAUAGAAGUUCUAAUUUGUCUGGACGGAGGAGAAUGGGCACUCCUGAAAGCCGAGAUUCUCGUUUCAUUGUUCUUCCACAGGUGGAGAUUAAAGCUGGUGAUGAUGUGAGAUUGGAUCUUAGGGGUCACAGAGUUCGUAGUCUUAAUGCUAGUGGGUUGAACUUGUCGCCAAAUUUAGAGUUUGUCUAUCUGAGGGACAAUCUCUUAUCUACAUUGGAAGGAAUUGAGAUACUGAAGCGGGUGAAGGUCCUUGAUUUGAGUUUCAAUGAGUUUAAGGGGCCUGGGUUUGAGCCUCUUGAGAAUUGCAAGGCUCUGCAGCAACUUUAUCUUGCUGGUAAUCAAAUCACAUCACUUGUAACUCUUCCUCAGCUUCCUAAUCUGGAGUUUCUCUCUGUUGCUCAAAAUAAAUUAAAGUCACUUUCAAUGGCAAGUCAACCUCGACUACAGGUAUUAGCUGCCAGCAAAAAUAAAAUAACAACUCUAAAGGGUUUCCCACAUCUACCUGUCCUUGAGCAUUUACGUGUUGAGGAGAAUCCUAUACUUAAGAUGCCCCAUUUAGAAGCAGCAUCCAUUUUGCUUGUUGGUUCUACACUGAAAAAGUUUAAUGAUAGAGAUCUUUCUCGGGAAGAGGUGGCAAUUGCAAAGCGUUAUCCACCUUGCACAGCCUUGUGCAUUAGAGAUGGUUGGGAGUUUUGUCGUCCUGAGAAUGCAGCAGACUCAACUUUACGCUUUCUUUUUGAGCAAUGGGAAGAUCAUUUCCCCCCAGGCUAUCUGCUCAAGGAUGUCUCUGUCGAUCAACCUUUUGAAGAAGAUGCUUGUCGCUGCCACUUUUUUUUUGUCCAAGACAGCACUGUGAGCAUUGAUCCACAACUUGUGUUAAGAUUUCAAUGGUUUGUGGGAGAGAGAACACUUUCAAAUUUUGUUGCUAUUCCUGAUGCCACUGGAGAGGUCUACUGGCCAAAGCAUGAAGACAUUGGUAAAUUUCUAAAGGUGGAAUGCACUCCUAUGCUAGGAGAGACGCAGUAUCCCACAGUUUUUGCCAUAUCUUCACCAGUUUCCCGGGGAAGUGGAAUUCCAAAGGUUGUGAACCUUGAAGUGCGUGGGGAUUUAGUGGAAGGAAAUGUCAUCGGAGGCUAUGCUGAGGUUGCAUGGUGUGGUGGAACUCCUGGAAAAGGUGUUGCCAGUUGGUUGAGGAGAAGAUGGAAUGGUAGCCCUGUUGUUAUUGCUGGUGCAGAAGAUGAGGAGUAUCGACUGACUUUAGAUGACAUUGAUUCAAGUUUGGUCUUCAUGUACACACCAGUCACAGAGGAAGGUGUCAAAGGGGAACCUCAGUAUAAGUAUACUGAUUUUGUUAAGGCAGCUCCUCCAUCGGUUAGUAAUGUCCAAAUUGUUGGAGAUGUUGUUGAAGGAUGUAUCAUAAAAGGAGUUGGGGAGUACUUUGGGGGAAGAGAAGGUCCCAGCAAGUUUGAAUGGUUACGUGAGAAUAAGGAAAAUGGGUUAGUGUGCUCAUGUAUUGCAUGCUGUAAUAGCCUCUUGGAUAAAAGAAAUAGACCAACUUAUUUUCUAGAUGCGGUUUCUUUUUCCCCCUUGAUUUCUUUAAUCUUUAGAAGUUAUAUCUCCCUCUAAUUUGAUAUAAAUUAUUUUAUAAUUGAGGCCUUUUGUUUCUUUGCUAUCUUUUAGUCUGCUAUGAUUAAAGACUUUAUGCUCAUUUCUAUGUAAAUUUUAAUUUCCACACAACUAUUGCCUUGUUUUGAUCUUCUUGGCUUCUUUUAGCAGAGAUUUUCUAUUGGUAUCAAUGGGUACAUCUGAGUAUACUUUGACUAAGGAAGAUGUAGGCCGGCACAUAGCUUUUGUUUAUAUACCCAUUAAUUUUGAAGGGCAGGAAGGGGAAUCUGUAUCAGUAAUGUCUUCUGUGGUGAAGCAAGCACCUCCAAAAGUAACAAAUGUUAAGAUAAUUGGUGAUAUAAGGGAAAACAACAAGGUUACUGUAACUGGUACUGUUACGGGGGGAACUGAAGGUUCUAGCAGAGUUCAGUGGUUUCAAACAAGUUCUUCAACAUUGGACAGUGAGAAUGGUCUUGAAGCAGUGAGUGCUUCCAAAAUUGCGAAGGCAUUUCGCAUCCCUUUAGGAGCAGUUGGCUAUUACAUUGUUGCGAAAUAUACACCUAUGACUCCAGAUGGCGAAUCUGGUGAACCGGUAUAUGCUGUAUCUGAAAGAGCAGUUGAAACUCUUCCCCCAAGCCUAAAUUUUUUGUCUAUUACUGGGGAUUAUGCUGAAGGAGGCAUGUUGACCGCAUCAUAUGGCUAUAUAGGGGGUCAUGAGGGAAAAAGUGUGUAUAAUUGGUAUCUUCACGAGGCUGAAACAGACUCUGGUACUUUGAUACCUGAGGGUUCAGGAGUUCUUCAAUAUCGUAUUACCAGAGAUGCAAUUGGUAAAUUCAUAUCCUUCCAAUGUGUCCCUGUGCGUGAUGAUGGGAUUGUAGGUGAGCCAAGGACUUGCAUGGGACAGGAAAGGGUUCGACCUGGAAGUCCGAGGUUGCUCUCUCUACAAAUAAUUGGAAUUGCUGUUGAAGGAACUCAAUUAAGUGUGGACAAGAAGUAUUGGGGAGGUGAAGAAGGAGAUUCAGUUUUCCGUUGGUUUCGGACUAGUUCAGAUGGCACUCAAAGUGAAAUUCGUGAUGCUACUGCUAUGUCAUACGAGCUUUCAAUUGAUGAUAUUGGAUUCCUUAUUUCGGUCUCAUGUGAGCCUGUCAGAAGUGAUUGGGCUCGUGGUCCUAUUGUUGUUUCUGAACAAAUUGGACCUAUCAUACCUGGCCCUCCAACUUGUCAGUCCUUAGAGUUUCUAGGGUCAAUGAUGGAAGGACAACGUCUAAGCUUUGUUGCUUCUUACAGUGGAGGGGAGAGAGGAAAUUGUUUCCAUGAAUGGUUUAGAGUGAGAAGUGAUGGCGUUAGGGACAAACUAAGCGCUAAUGAGUUUCUGGAUUUGACUUUAGAGGAUGUUGGAAAAUGCAUUGAACUUGUUUAUACUCCAAUGCGCAAGGAUGGUGUGACAGGAAAUCCUUGGAGCAUAAAAUCCCAUGUGAUUGCACCAGCGGAUCCUGUGGGGUUGGAACUUGUGAUUACCAAUUGUUUUGAGGACAAGGAAGUGAUCCCACAAAAGACGUACUUUGGUGGACGGGAAGGUGUUGGAGAGUAUAUUUGGUACAGAACAAAAGAUAAGUUACAUGGUUCUGCAUUGAUGGAUAUAAGUAAUGACUGUGAGGAUGUUCUCAUAUGUAGCAAAACAUUUACAUACACUCCAUCCCUUGAAGAUGUGGGUUCUUACUUGGCCUUAUAUUGGCUGCCCACUCGUGCAGAUGGAAAAUGUGGAAAACCGUUAGUUGCAAUCUCCAACUCUCCAGUUAACCCAGCUCUUCCGGUUGUUUCUUUUGUUCAAGUGAAAGAGUUGCAUUCUGGUGUUUAUUCUGGAGAGGGAAAAUACUUUGGUGGGUAUGAGGGGGCAAGCCUAUUCAGCUGGUAUAGAGAAACUAGUGACGGUACUAUCAGUCUUAUUAAUGGUGCUAACUCUAUAACUUACGCAGUCACGGAUUUGGAUUACAAUUGCCGCUUGUUGUUUGGGUACACACCAGUUCGUUCAGAUUCAGUUGUGGGAGAACUCAAAUUGUCUGAGUCAACUGACAUAAUUCUCCCAGAGCUUCCAAUAGUGGAAAUGCUUGCUUUGACUGGAAAGGCGAUAGAAGGUGAUGUACUCACUGCUGUUGAAGUAAUACCAAAGAGUGCAAUGCAACAAUUAGUUUGGAGCAAGUACAAGAAGGAUGUCAAAUAUCAAUGGUUCUUUUCAUCAGUAGUAGGGGACAGAGAUUCCUUUGAGCCUCUACCUUCACAGCAUUCCUGCUCUUACAAGGUGCGACUAGAGGACAUUGGUAGAUGCUUGAGAUGUGAAUGCAUUGUGACUGAUGUGUUUGGAAGGUCAAGUGAGCCAGCAUAUGCUGAGACUGCUGCUGUAUUGCCAGGUCUUCUAUUACACGCAACAAGUUGAAUUGAGAACUAUCCUUUCCUCAAUUAAUUGGACAAUUAUCUUUCGCUCACCAUUGAUUUGAUUUAGAAUUUUGUACUACUGUUAAAUGAGCUAAAUUUGAAUGUCCAGCUUUUAGUUAUUUCUAUUGGAAAUAUUCUAGAUUUUUCAAAUGUGCUUGUCUUCAUUACUCUUGAUGUAGUUUCUUGAGAUUUGGCUAGUUAUUGUGUCUAUUUCCAAAUUGAGUAGAAACCUCAAAUUUUGCAAGCAUGCAUUUUUAUUCUUCCAUAUUUCAUUGUCAUAAUUUCUAUAAGUGUUAUAUCAAUGAUAUUUUGUAUCUCUGUUUUUUCUACUUAAAAUAAAAUCGUUUUAACUCUAUGAAUCAUCCAUGCCAGUGGAAAGAUUUUACUGGCAAGUGCUUUUUUUGCUUUUCCGUUUGAUUUUGUUUUUUCCUUCUUGUUGCUGGUAGCCAGGUUCUCUUCAUGGAUUAUUUGAGUGACAUGUAAAUUUGAUACUAUUUGGGGGUUUAAAACUAUCUUUAUUGUUUGAGGUAUUUUGGCAUUUUUCUUUUCCUCUAUAAGUUGACUUGAUUUCUCAACUACUGCUGCUGUUAUGCUUGUUUUCUGAAUACCAGAUGCUUAAUAGUAUUAUUAGUUCUUAAUUGUAUUGGGAAGUACAUGCCUUCUAUAAACCUGUUCCAUAUUUUAGUAAUUAAUAAUCAUUUUAUCUUUUAGGGAUUCCUCGUAUAGAUAAAGUGGAGAUUGAAGGGAGGGGUUUUCACACAAACUUAUAUGCUGUUCGAGGCAUUUAUAGUGGAGGAAAGGAGGGCAAAAGUAGAAUACAAUGGCUUAGAUCAAUGGUUGGUAGUCCUGAUCUGAUUUCCAUACCAGG